CAGGCAUCUCUUCAGGAUUCUUUCUAAUAUCUUUUUUUUUUUUUCCUACCUCUUAAGAUCGUGCUGGAAGCAUCAGUACUCUUGAUUCUUUAGAUUUUGCAAGAUACUCUGAUGAUGGCAAUAGAGAAACGGAUGAAAGAGUAGCAGUCCUGGAGUUUGAACUACGGAAAGCCAAGGAGACCAUACAGGCCCUUCGAGCCAACCUGACUCAGGCUGCAGAAAAUGAAGUUCCUUUGCAGGAACGAAAAAAUUAUAAAUCAAGUCCUGAAAUUCAGGAGCCAAUCAGACCUCUUGAGAAAAGAGCUCUAAACUUCCUAGUUAAUGAAUAUUUAUUGAAGAAUAGUUACAAGCUUACAUCAAUAACAUUUUCAGAUGAAAAUCAUGAUCAGGUAAAGUUUGCUUGUGAGUUUGUUGGGGGUUUCUUACACACCCACUUUCCAUAUUCUGGUCUUGUCAUACACUUAAGUGAACUUAAGUGAUUUUUCCUGUGCAUGCAGUUUGCUUCAUAUAUAUGAGUAAUCUAGAAGUUAAAUAUUUUAGUUAGCAUUUUCCUAUAUAACCCAUGGUUUGAAA
rnacentral:lncRNA from 12 species